rnacentral:rRNA from 1 species
UACGUAGGAGGCGAGCGUUGUCCGGAAUCAUUGGGCGUAAAGAGCGCGCAGGCGGCUUGGCAAGUCCGCUGUGAAAGUCCAGGCUCAACCCUGGGAUGCCGGUGGAUACUGUCGGGCUCGAGUCCGGAAGAGGAGUGUGGAAUUCCUGGUGUAAGCGGUGAAAUGCGCAGAUAUCAGGAAGAACACCUAUGGCGAAAGCAGCUCUCUGGGACGGUACUGACGCGAGACGCGAAAGCGUGGGGAG